rnacentral:rRNA from 1 species
GAUGAACGCUGGCGGCGUGCCUAAUACAUGCAAGUCGAGCGAACAGAUAAGGAGCUUGCUCCUUUGACGUUAGCGGCGGACGGGUGAGUAACACGUGGGUAACCUACCUAUAAGACUGGGAUAACUUCGGGAAACCGGAGCUAAUACCGGAUAAUAUUUCGAACCGCAUGGUUCGAUAGUGAAAGAUGGCCCUGCUAUCACUUAUAGAUGGACCUGCGCCGUAUUAGCUAGUUGGUAAGGUAACGGCUUACCAAGGCAACGAUACGUAGCCGACCUGAGAGGGUGAUCGGCCACACUGGAACUGAGACACGGUCCAGACUCCUACGGGAGGCAGCAGUAGGGAAUCUUCCGCAAUGGGCGAAAGCCUGACGGAGCAACGCCGCGUGAGUGAUGAAGGUCUUCGGAUCGUAAAACUCUGUUAUUAGGGAAGAACAAACGUGUAAGUAACUGUGCACGUCUUGACGGUACCUAAUCAGAAAGCCACGGCUAGCUACGUGCCAGCAGCCGCGGUAAUACGUAGGUGGCAAGCGUUAUCCGGAAUUAUUGGGCGUAAAGCGCGCGUAGGCGGUUUUUUAAGUCUGAUGUGAAAGCCCACGGCUCAACCGUGGAGGGUCAUUGGAAACUGGAAAACUUGAGUGCAGAAGAGGAAAGUGGAAUUCCAUGUGUAGCGGUGAAAUGCGCAGAGAUAUGGAGGAACACCAGUGGCGAAGGCGACUUUCUGGUCUGUAACUGACGCUGAUGUGCGAAAGCGUGGGGAUCAAACAGGAUUAGAUACCCUGGUAGUCCACGCCGUAAACGAUGAGUGCUAAGUGUUAGGGGGUUUCCGCCCCUUAGUGCUGCAGCUAACGCAUUAAGCACUCCGCCUGGGGAGUACGACCGCAAGGUUGAAACUCAAAGGAAUUGACGGGGACCCGCACGAGCGGUGGAGCAUGUGGUUUAAUUCGAAGCAACGCGAAGAACCUUACCAAAUCUUGACAUCCUUUGACCCUUCUAGAGAUAGAAGUUUCCCCUUCGGGGGACAAAGUGACAGGUGGUGCAUGGUUGUCGUCAGCUCGUGUCGUGAGAUGUUGGGUUAAGUCCCGCAACGAGCGCAACCCUUAAGCUUAGUUGCCAUCAUUAAGUUGGGCACUCUAAGUUGACUGCCGGUGACAAACCGGAGGAAGGUGGGGAUGACGUCAAAUCAUCAUGCCCCUUAUGAUUCGGGCUACACACGUGCUACAAUGGACAAUACAAAGGGCAGCGAAACCGCGAGGUCAAGCAAAUCCCAUAAAGUUGUUCUCAGUUCGGAUUGUAGUCUGCAACUCGACUACAUGAAGCUGGAAUCGCUAGUAAUCGUAGAUCAGCAUGCUACGGUGAAUACGUUCCCGGGUCUUGUACACCCCGCCCGUCACACCACGAGAGUUUGUAACACCCGAAGCCGGUGGAGUAACCAUUUGGAGCUAGCCGUCGAAGGUGGGACAAAUGAUUGGGGUGAAGUCGUAACAAGGUAGCCGUAUCGGAAGG